CUCGGCGGCAGCCGGCGCCGGCCGCCAGCCCGCGUUUGCCCGGAGCUCCCGGCAGCGCAGCCCCAAACCCUCCGUAGGGGGAGCGGUGAAUUCCUGCCGAGUGACCGCUUGGGCUCCGCUUUGCCCUGAUCGGGGCAAGAUGGAUCACGAAAGAGGACAGGAACGGAACCUAACAACCGCCUGUUUCUCAUUUAUCCUAACUUUGGUUUUAAAGUGGAAAUCAACAUACGUAUUUUGCAAGCCAGCCACCUCCCCGCGGACGGAGAGCUUGCUGGAAGUCUUCCCCCAGCCGAGUUCAAUCCGCAAUGCCGCUGGGCUCCCUGGCACCUCGGCCGAAACCCCCAGCGCUGCAGAGCCUGGAGGUCCAGGGGUGCCACUUACCCCGAGCCAUCACAGCAUUGUCAAGUGCAAUUGACUUAAGCACGUCCCUGCUGUCUGCAGUCCCAGCCCACGGGCCCUGCUUGCUGCCAUUCAAUACUUUAAACAAACACCGGGGCUUUGGUCCAAUUCAGACCCCUCGGCUGCAUUCAAAGCAGGCGCCCUCGCCCAAGACUGCGACGGAGCGGGGCAGACUCGGUAAAGCUAACCUGGGUCGGGAGGUGUUUAAAGGACCGGUCCAGGAUGCCACCAGAGACAGCAGCAGAGCCAGCUUAGACCCUGGCUAACUUCGACCUCAUGAUGUUCGCAUGAGAGAGGCUGCGAACAGGGGCCCAAACCCUGCACCCAUGCUAGACCAUGGCUGUUUCACUUGGACGGCUUGUUUCUGACAGCCCAGGGAAAUGCUCACACCAGCAUCGGGCCAUGAAUCGGUUCCGUCCCCACAACUCAAGCCAGCAAAGCCCUGAUUCUCACAUCCAGCUCCCCUCAAUCUAAUUAUUCAUAUUUGUCUCUGUCUGCCAAGGGCCCCUGAAUGUAUUUAUGCUGACCUCUUUUAACUAACACAGUGCCCAGUGCGCCUCUGUACAUGAACCCGAUGUACUGAAAUGUCCAGUAAUCACAACUACUGCUCUGAGGCUUUCUACUACUCUCGUAACAGUUGUGACAUUCUUCAGCACUGCAAGAAGUAGGUCUCAGUCCCACCGCAAACACUGCUAGGAGCACGGCUGUCCCACCAGUGCUCCAGCUGACCCACGGGGAUGACCGCACUGUGCUUACCCUAGAAGAGUAAUACUGCGUCUUUGCUGUUGCUACCGGCACAGAGGAAAACAACCAGCCCAAGAAUCCGAUCAUAAAGACUGGAUGGAUUCAGGAUGAGCUGAGAUAAAUCUGAGCAGCGCAGUCCCCCCAUCUGCACCCCCACACAUGCAAACGUGCUGAAGAACUCAAGGGGAAAAACGGUCAGACCCCAGGAAAUGCCUGGCUAGACCCACACAGGGCUGCAGAGCACACAUACAAGCACGCUCCUUGUAUCUCUGCACAACUCAGUGAAGCCAGCUUCAAACAGGCUCGCGCUGUCCUCAGGACGGGAGGAAUCUGUUUCCCUGUGCCCGUCCCCUCCGCCAGAGCGGUCUCUGGUCUGCGCUGUGCGGCAGCAACGUGCAGCCCGGCUGCGACACGCAAAGUCCGCCGGGGAGGAGGGAGUCCGAGUGGCGGGACAGGGGACACCUCGCCAUGGGCGCUGCUCCUGCGCCCGGCACGCUGAGCCUGCCGAAGGGAGCCCCGGCCACACUGCCGCCGGCAGCGGGGCCGGCACGGGGCACGGGGGCGGCCGUACACCGCCGCUGCCAAACCCAGGCGCCGGGCAGAACCGCUGGGAAACUUCACUUCGGAGGAAAGGCAUCCUGCAGUGCUGCACCACCCCACUCCGACAGCUACGAGAUGAAAUACUUGCAUUUCGUGCCUGCCUGUGUGAUCUGCUUGCUUCCUUCGUCCCCCCACACUUGCACACCUACACGCACAAUGCUUGUAGGUAUGUUUUCUAUCAUACAGGCUUUUCAGGGAUCAAAAAUCAAACCAAGCUUCAGGACUAUUUUACCAGGACAGUUUUUUCGAAUCAGUGCAGCCUGCUCCUCUCCCAGAAGUUCCCCCGCGUGGGUAACCUGAAACACUCGGGUUUUGUUUCAGUUCAGAGUCGUCCCCAAAGGGACGCGAGCGACUUGGGCGCAGCAGCGCUGAGAAGCGCCGCGAGGCGGGCGGGCACUGCGGGGACGGGCUCGGGCUCGGCAUCAGCUGUCCUUGGCUUCGCAGGUACCUUCCCUCCACCCGCGUGAAGGGAGCUUUGUGGAACAGCUCAGCUCAUAUGAACAACCACGUUUUUUAUACUGUUUUUUAUAAAUUGCAUUUUUUCCCAUCACUUAUGGUACAGAGAUUCUGAGAUUUAAACAGCAACAAAACAAAAAAAACAAGGAAAAAAACCCUCAACGAGAGUCUUGUGCUUUGGCCCCCAAAUCUGGAAUUAUGAACUCCGGGAAAUCUGAACGAAUUGUACACUUUAAGGACACUCGAGUGACUUGGAAAGUGUUAAACUCCUUGAAAAGCUCGUUUUAACUUUGUUAACUCCCACAGAAUUGACCUGUGCUCUUCCAAAUGCUCAGAAAAUCCAUUCUGCACCCCCCGAUGAGCUGGGUGGCUGAAUCCCACCCUAGACACAACCAAUUGCAGCCAGAAUUUCCGGAUGAACAGCAAAUUUAAUCUUUUAUCUGCACACUAAAAAAGGAGGGAUGAAUCCAGAAACCUUAUAUAGACUGUUUACCUCAACACAGCUUCAGACAGCCUUUUAACAAAAUAGUACAGUAUGCCAAAUUUUCACUGUAUUUGAAUUAAAUUACAUUUCCUCUCAAAUGGGGAGAUGGCAACAUUUCUAUUGCUUAGAAUAUUGGACUGGCAUAACCUAGCAAUGAAAUCAUUACUAUUCAAAACUGUUUUAAAUCCCCACAGAUUUUUGUCAAAAGCAAGCAAUUUCUGGCUGGUACAACACAAUUCAUUAUUAAUAAAAAUUUUGUUGCGAGUUAAGAAUUAAAAUAAAUCUUCUCAGGUUGGGAAAAUAGGAUCCCUGAUUGCAUCUUGUUUCCACUGAUAUUAUUUGACUGUGAUCUUUCCUAAUAUUUCCUGUACUAAACGCACCAUUUUUUGGACUGUCAUAAUGUUCAGGCAGAGUCUAUGUUUAAGUGGAGUUAAAAUUCAGAGUCCAUAUUAGCAACUUGGAGUGAAACACAUUACAAACCAAGUGCUUUAAUCCCAGGAAAUUCAGUGAUCUAGAGUUCAUUAUAUUUGUAACUAUGUAUUAGGCUGUGGGACUGCACAAUUAAGACACCAAAUUGACUUUA